GAGGAAAGAGGGAGGAGGGAGGAACACAGGUAAGUCGAACGGAAAGGCUCCUGCUUGCAGGGGUACUCGAGUGGCGAACGGGUGAGUAACACGUGGGUGAUCUGCUCUGCACUUCGGGAUAAGCCUGGGAAACUGGGUCUAAUACCGGAUAGGACGAUGGUUUGGAUGCCAUUGUGGAAAGUUUUUUCGGUGUGGGAUGAGCUCGCGGCCUAUCAGCUUGUUGGUGGGGUAAUGGCCUACCAAGGCGUCGACGGGGAGCCGGCCUGAGAGGGUGUACGGCCACAUUGGGACUGAGAUACGGCCCAGACUCCUACGGGAGGCAGCAGUGGGGAAUAUUGCACAAUGGGCGCAAGCCUGAUGCAGCGACGCCGCGUGGGGGAUUACAGCCUUCGGGUUGUAAACUCCUUUCGCUAGGGACGAAGCGCAAGUGACGGUACCUGGAGAAGAAGCACCGGCUAACUACGUU
rnacentral:rRNA from 1 species